rnacentral:rRNA from 1 species
UGCCAGACUCCUACGGGAGGCAGCAGUGGGGAAUAUUGCACAAUGGGGGGAACCCUGAUGCAGCGACGCCGCGUGGGUGAAGGAGUAUUUCGGUAUGUAAAGCCCUAUCAGCAGGGAAGAACAAUGACGGUACCUGACUAAGAAGCCCCGGCUAACUACGUGCCAGCAGCCGCGGUAAUACGUAGGGGGCAAGCGUUAUCCGGAUUCACUGGGUGUAAAGGGAGCGUAGACGGCGACGCAAGUCUGGAGUGAAAGCCCGGGGCCCAACCCCGGGACUGCUCUGGAAACUGCGGCGCUGGAGUACGGGAGGGGCAGGCGGAAUUCCUGGUGUAGCGGUGAAAUGCGUAGAGAUCAUACAGAACACCGAUUGCGAAGGCAGCUUACCAAUCUAUAUCUGACGUUGAGGCACGAAAGCGUGGGGAGCAAACAGGAUUAGAUACCCUAGUA